AAGCUAUAUUUAGAAUCACACACCACUACAUGAAUUUUUCUUGAAACAGUACAAAUUAGCUCACGGUGAGCUUGUCUGGAUUUUCAUGUAGCAGCAUUCACGACGUAGAGUCAGAGAGAUGGGGGUUUUGCAAGGAAGCUGUUUGAUGAAAUGCGUGAAAGGGAUUUGGCGUCGUGGAAUUCGAUAAUUCAGGGAUAAUUGGGCGUGUAAUCGAGAAACAGAUGCAACUCAGUUCAGUUCAUAUAUUGGUUUUUGCUUUGGAUUGAUAUUUCACUUCUCCCGUGAUCUUGAUUUAGGAUAUGGAUGGAUGAGGGAUUGGGAUUUCAGCAUUAAGAUCAAGCAUUGAUUCAUGGUGAAUUGGGGGCAAAAUAUCAUCAAAGAGGCUGCUUUCAGGGGCAAUGUAGCCAAAAGUUCCAGCUAUGUUUGAUGCUGUUUCUGUAUCACCAUGCCUGUUAAGCAAUUUUGAUAGUCCAAAAUCUGCUAUUUUUGCAUUGAGUUCCGAGUCCAGUAAUAUGUUCCUCGACUUGAUAUCCCGGUGUAUGAUAGUCGGGGAGCAGUCGUGGUGCAUAUAGCACAGUCCUUGUGCUGCUCCAAUGGCGAUAUGCAGCCUCAUCGGCCACUCCAAUUUGGUGACUGAACUACUACCAACGGGUGAUAUCUCCUUGUUUUUUCCAUGCAGCCACUGAUGAAGGCUCUUGUUCUCGACAUAUUGGUAGACAAGAAGCUUCAAUUCUUUGCUUGAGAGAUAGCAUAAAAGCUUUACUAUGUUGUUGUGCCAUAUGGUCCCCAGUGUCUUGAUCUCUGCCAGGAAUUCCUUCUCGAGGCCGCAGUCUGAUUUUCUGGGAUUCACUAUACUCUUGACAGCAACAACAUUGCUUCCUUCAUUAAUGUAAACUCGAUACACUUUUCCCGAUCCUCCAUACCCGAUGAGAAGGACUGGCUGGCCAGAUUUGCUCGCGUCUUGAAGCUAUGGCCUCACGCCUCUUGAGCCACCAUCUUCUUACCAAGUAGAAAAGUAUUGCAAAUCCUACCACCCAACAACCAACUGCCCAUACUGUCAUUAUCAUAAAAUGCCUCUCUGAUUCAUCAUGUUUGGAUUGACAUAUCAGAUAUUUUCGAAUUAUUUUAGCAGAGCACAAGCUUGGAGGGCAACUAGGUAGACGAGUUGUCUCGUUGUCAGAACAGAGGUUGGAAAGAUCAAAGCAAUUCUCAUGAAAGAACCGAUUCACUAAUUCAUAUGGUACCUUCCCUGAGAACUUGUUAGAGCAGAGCUUGAGUACACUCAUCGACUUCAAAGGAAUCGUAUCUUUUACAUCCCCAUCAAGCAAAUUCAUCGACAGAUCCAAUGAUGUGAGUUUGAACAAAUUCUUUAUAUCAUUGGGGAUCGAUCCAUGCAAGUAAUUUUGAGAGAGAUCAAGAACUUCUAACCUUACUGCUUCUAUAGGCGUGGGUAUCGCCCCGAUCAAUCUGUUUCCAUGCAGCCAUAAAUGGCUUAGCCUUUUAUGCAACAGAAGCUCACCUGGGAUCGUCCCAGACAGUUGGUUCAUGGACAGGUCCAACCUCACAAGUUUUGAGCAGUUGUAUAGGCUGGCAGGCCGGCGACUUUACCAAAGGCGCAUUCGACUUCUGGCCAAUCACAUAAGGAUGAGGUCGAAUUCCACCAACGAAGAGAAGAGGGAGUGUCCCAAUGCUGUUUCAAGCUCAAAAGAAUAGCCUGCUCAGAAAACAAGUCUUGUGAAUAUACUUGAAGGUUGAGACGAAUUAGCAGGAUGAUGAGAAUAAGAGUGCCAUGGAGGGAGACUGCGUCAGAACCUAAUAAAAUCGCAUCAACAACAGUUCUCUUCACCCGUGCUUAAACUGGUGCUUUUGGUAUGGGAUAUCAGUUGAUGAGGAAUUGGAAUUUCAGCAUUAACAUCAAGCAAUGAUUCAUGAGAGAAUUGGAGGCAAAGUAUCAUCAACUGAUGCUGCUUUAAGGUAAAUUUUAUCCCAAGACCUUGAUCUGAUUCUGGUACUACAAUUUGGCGCUUCAUUGAACAACGUUGAAGUUCAGAUAAAGGCAUGAUUUGAUACAUACGACUUAGGUUUUUUUACAAUCAGAUAGCUUGAAAGUCAUUGGACUAGAAGUUCAAGAAAAAUGGCUUUCUGCAAUUCUGUAGAAUGUGCAAACAAUCCUUCAUGGAUGGUCUAUUAGAAGGUGAUGUAGCACUACAAAAGACUCCUAGCUUAAAAACAGUUAUUAUUUGGUCCAAGAAUCUUGAGUCCUUGAUCUCAUCAUCUAGUGCAUCAAUAAUGGCGUUUGUAUCUCUGGACUGUAGGUGUGCCCUUCGUGCUAGGUUUAUAUGAUCUCCAUGAGUAACCGCCUCUCUUCCUGUAGUCAGUUCAAGUAGAACCACUCCAAAGCUAUAAACAUCGGUCUUUCUGUUCACUUUAGAUGUGUAGGCAUACUCUACAAUUCAUGAUUUACAAGAUUUAGUAUAUAUAUUAAAAAUAAGAAUCAACUUAAAGAUGGUGGAGUUUGUAUAAUGCAUACCAGGGGCGAUGUAGCCAAAAGUUCCAGCUAUAUUUGAUGCUGUUUCUGUAUCACCAUGCCUGUUGAGCAAUUUUGAUAGUCCAAAAUCUGCUAUUUUUGCAUUGAGUUCCGAGUCCAGUAGUAUGUUCCUCGACUUGAUAUCCCGGUGUAUGAUAGUCGGGGAGCAGUCGUGGUGCAUAUAGCACAGUCCUUGUGCGGCUCCAAUGGCGAUAUGCAGCCUCAUUGGCCACUCCAAUUUGGUGACUGAACUACUACCAACAGGUGAUAUCUCCUUGUUUUUGCCAUGCAGCCACUGAUGAAGGCUCUUGUUCUCGACAUAUUGGUAGACAAGAAGCUUCAAUUCUCUGCUCGAGAGAUAGCAUAAAAGCUUUACUAUAUUGUUGUGCCAUAUAGUCCCCAGUGUCUUGAUCUCUGCCAGGAAUUCCUUCUCGAGGCCGCAGUCUGAUUUUCUGGGAUUCACUAUACUCUUGACAGCAACCGCAUUGCUUCCUUCACUCAUAUAAACUCGAUACACUUUUCCCGCUCCUCCAUACCCGAUGAGGUUUUCAUCUGUCAAACUUGACAAGAUUUCUGCUUUAUUGAAGUCCAGCCUCUCAAACGUAAUCAUCUUCCAUUCAUCUUCUUCACCCACAGAAGGACCGGACUCAACGGUCUCUCUCUUAAGCCAGCAUUUUCUUACCAAGUAGUAAGUUAUUGCAAAUCCUACAACCCCACAACCAACUAACAUUACUAUCUUUAUCACAAAAUGCCUAUUUGAUUGACUCUUUGUCCCGUUGUCAGAAACGAGAUUGAAACGAUCGAAGCAAUGCUCGUGCAAGAACUGCUUCACAAUCUCGUAUCGCACCUUCCCAGAGAAUUUGUUAGAGCAGAGCCGGAGUACUCUUAUGGACCUCAGAUUGACCACAUUUUCUAUGUCUCCAGAUAACUCGUUAUGUCUCCAGAUAACUCGUUAGCAGACAAAUCCAAGUUGUCCGGAGAUGGCAUUGUAACCAAGAGACAGAUAAACAAGCAGACGCAUUUGGAACAGUCCCAUGGGGAUUGUCCCACGAAGAGAAUUCAUCGAAAAAUCCAAGAAUUUGAGUCUGAACAAGUUCUUCACAUCAUCAGGGAUCGAUCCAUUCAAGUAAUUAUGAGAGAGAUCAAGAACCUCUAACCUUACUGCCUCUACCGGUGUUGGUAUCGCCCCGACCAAUCUGUUUCCGUGCAGCCAUAAAUGGCUCAGCCAUUUAUGCAAGAGAAGCUCACCCGGGAUCGUUCCAGACAGCUCGUUCAUGGACAGGUCCAAGCUCACCAGUUUUGAGCAGCUGUAGAGGCUGACAGGUAUGUCUCCGUGCAAGAGAUUUCGAGACAGGUUGAUUGAAACGAGGUUUUCGAGCAGACAUAUCGUUGGUGGAACUGUUCCUCUUAUGCUCUUUUCUGCUAGUUUCAGACCGGUGGCUGAACCAGAGAUGCAUUCGACUUCUGGCCAGUCGCAUACAGAUGAUGUCGAAUUCCACCAACGAAGCGAGAGGGGGCUGCCCCAAUGCUGUUUCAAGCUCAACAGAAUAGUCUGCUCAGAAGAUGAGUUCUGUGAGUUUACUUGAAGGUGGAGAGGAAUUAGCAGGAUGAAGAGGAGAAAAAGGGCCAUGGCUGCAAAAAAAAAAAAUGGUUUUCUUGAAUUAUAUGAUAUUUCAAGUCUUGCACAUUAGUUACAAUUAUUUCAUUAUAACAACCACAGGUUCAAGUCAAGUCAA